UGGGGAAUAUUGGACAAUGGGCGAAAGCCUGAUCCAGCAAUGCCGCGUGAGUGAUGAAGGCCUUAGGGUUGUAAAGCUCUUUUACCCGGGAUGAUAAUGACAGUACCGGGAGAAUAAGCCCCGGCUAACUCCGUGCCAGCAGCCGCGGUAAUACGGAGGGGGCUAGCGUUGUUCGGAAUUACUGGGCGUAAAGCGCACGUAGGCGGCUUUGUAAGUUAGAGGUGAAAGCCCGGGGCUCAACUCCGGAAUUGCCUUUAAGACUGCAUCGCUUGAAUUGUGGAGAGGUAAGUGGAAUUCCGAGUGUAGAGGUGAAAUUCGUAGAUAUUCGGAAGAACACCAGUGGCGAAGGCGACUUACUGGACACAUAUUGACGCUGAGGUGCGAAAGCGUGGGGAGCAAACA
rnacentral:rRNA from 1 species